UNCNGGCUAGGAUGACGCUGGCGGCGUGCCUAACACAUGCAAGUCGAGCGAUCUCUUCGGAGAGAGCGGCGGACGGGUGAGUAACGCGUGGGUAACCUGCCCUGUACACACGGAUAACAUACCGAAAGGUAUACUAAUACGGGAUAACAUACGAAAGUCGCAUGGCUUUUGUAUCAAAGCUCCGGCGGUACAGGAUGGACCCGCGUCUGAUUAGCUAGUUGGUAAGGUAAUGGCUUACCAAGGCAACGAUCAGUAGCCGACCUGAGAGGGUGAUCGGCCACACUGGAACUGAGACACGGUCCAGACUCCUACGGGAGGCAGCAGUGGGGAAUAUUGCACAAUGGGCGAAAGCCCUGAUGCAGCAACGCCCGCGUGAGCGAUGAAAGGCCUUCGGGUCGUAAAAGCUCUGUCCUUCAAGGAAAAUAAUGGACGGUACUUUGAAGGAGGAAGCCCCCGGCUAACUUCCUGGCCACAGCCCGCGGGAAAUACGUAAGGGGGUUAGCGGUUUUCCCGAAUUACUGGGCCUUAAGGGGGGCGUAAGGGGGUUUUUUAGGCAAAAAUGAAAAGCUACCGGUCCAACCGUAAUUAGCUUUUGAAACCUAAGAAAUUUAAUGGGNGAAAAGAAAAGAAAAAUUCCAGUGUAGCGGGGGAAUGCGUAGAAAUUUAGAGGAAUAACCNUNGCCAAAGGGGGUCUCUGGGCUGGUAACUUACACUUAGGCACCAAAACGUGGGGGAGCAAACAAGAUUAAUACCCUGGGAGUCCCCCCCCCAAACGAUGAGUACUAUGGGGUCGGGGGGGUUCCCCCCCCNGGGCCGCAGCUAAACAUUAAGUAUCCCCCCUGGGGAAGAUAGCUCUCCAGAGUGAAAUCCUAAGNAUGUUAGGGGCCCCCCCCCACGUAGCGGGAGCAUGUUGGUUUUUUUUUAGACACCCGAGAAACUCUCUC
rnacentral:rRNA from 1 species